GAAAUAGAGGCGCAGCUUUCAAAAGUAAUGGGAUCGAGGUUGCCAGGACUGUUGAAGUUCUAUGAAAGGGUGGGCUGCCGAAGGGAAUAUCCGGCAAAUAUUACCUGGUUGCAACGGCGAAAGCUUUGUGACUGUCAUCACUUAUGAUGGAGUGCUAUUC
rnacentral:ncRNA from 1 species